ensembl:lncRNA
AUGAAUAACUGUGAGAGGCAGUUUCCAUCCUUGCUCUCUUUAUCAGUUUCUUUCUGCUCUAUCAUUUUUUUUAAAAGUCAGCUUUUGUGUGGAUAGUGUGGGUGGGGUGGACAAGGAUGCUUCAGAAAAAGAAGAGUUUGAUUUUCAAUGAAAGCUCAUAGAGGCUAAGGAGAGCGGUGACAUCUGUAUGGAGAGAAAAAACGUGAAGACCGUUGACAGAAUAAUUACCCACCACUAGAAUCAACAGGGGAUCCAUUUCUGAGGUGCGGGUGGCUCAGCACUGCCGUACCCUGAGACUUGUAGCUGUCAAGUGUAUCGGCAAGAGGGUGCUAAAGGGAAAAGAGGGCAUGUUGGAGAAUGAGAUUGCAGCGCUCCGCAGCCUGAGAACUUACUAUAUCAGACUUCGUCUAUCGAUUCCAAGUGACUUUGGCCUGUCCAAGUUGGAAGAGCAGUAUGCUCACCACAGCAUGUGGACCCCCUGCUUACGUGGCAAUAGAUUUCAUUCCACGCAUGUUGCAGAAAGAACCAGAGAUGAGGUACAAUUGUGAGCCGGCCUUGAAGCAUCCUUGGACGCGUUGUUGAGUCAGGAUAUCGGGAGGAGCCGCUCUGGAGAAUAACAUACAUGGGUCCAUCAGUGAGCAGAUUCAGAAGAACUUUGCUAAGAGCAAGUGGAAGAGGGCAUUCAAUGCUCAGUAAGAAGAAUGUAGCAGUAGAGGAGGAGGCUAAGAUACAGACCAAGGCCAUACUGCAAGCAGACGCUCUUAUCCAGAGCGACCUACAGGAGUGAGUGCAUACAUUCUCAUACUUUCUUCAUACUGAACCCCCGUGGAAAUCAAACCUACAACCCUGGUGUUUCAAGAGCCAUGCUCUACCAACUGAGCUACACUGAGCUAACAAGAGAUUAAUCUAUGUCUGGCAGAGAAAUCACCUCGGAAGAAUCCUGUGUCAUUUAGGGCAUUUCUGCUCUCAAGUGCCUUUGCUGUAUGUGAUUAAUUGCAAAUCCAGAGUGAUGCAGAGUGAUACUCUCCUUCGGCCAGCAGAGAGCGGUCUUAAUCAAGCUUUUAUUUCUGUGGUAAAUGAUUAUUAUUAUUUAAUGGUCUCAUCCAAACAUUGCUCAGAAUCUGGUCUGGCUCCAUACAAUUUAGCAACAGGACUCAUUUGACACAUCAAGAGUAAUUUUGUUGAUAAAUAAUAACAAUAUACUAUUAGGCCUAGUAUCUAUUGACCAUGCAUCGAUGUAAACAGGUUUUCUAAUGAUUUGAUGCUAAGUAUCUAUAGACACUUGUAUUCUUCACUAAUAAAAAAAGUGUGUUAGAAAACACCGUUUUUUCCCC